UUCCGAUAGAUUAAGGGGUCAGGCUUGA
rnacentral:sRNA from 1 species